CAUCGGAUGAUCGGUUUUCAUCAGAUGGUGAUGAAGACAAUGAUCAAGGUGGGGCACUGGUAGGGGAUAAACCAGAUGAUCCGAUAGAUUUGUCUAGUGGAAGUAGUUUAUCAUCGGAGGUUAAUGAACAAAGUCACGCGGCAAACGAGUUAGUUGAUCCUAGAUACUCUCCAGAGGUUUCUUAUGAAAAGAAAAUCACAGCUUCGGAUGUUGCACAACCUAGAUUGUAUUUGGCUUCAAAAUUCGCUGCGUAUCUUAAACUGUGUGGAGAUGGCUCGAUUUGGACAAUCACUGGUCCAGAUUCCAAUGUAGAGAAGAAUGUCUUCUUCUUCCACUUAUUGAAAAGUGGAGGAAGAGGUGGAGAAUGGAAAUUUGGAGUUGGGUGGAGGGAAUGUUGUAGAAUAUACAACUUAAAGGAGGGUGAUAUCAUUACUUUGAAACUCGGCUCGAUAGCUAGACGGCAGAUAGAGUUAUCGAUCCAGCGACAUUAGGCCUCCUAUGUAUAACUCUAUUUGAUGGAUAUUUUAAAUUGUAUGUUAAUUUGUCUUUGACAUAUUUUAUCUUUUGUUUGAUAAACAAAUUUAUAUAUGUUGUAUAUAUUUUGUUUUG